UACGUAGGGUGCAAGCGUUUGUCCGGAAUUAUUUGGGCGUAAAGAGCUCGUAGGCGGCCUGUCGCGUCGGCUGUGAAAACCCGAGGCUCAACCUCGGGCCUGCAGUCGAUACGGGCAGGCUAGAGUUCGGUAGGGGAGACUGGAAUUCCUGGUGUAGCGGUGAAAUGCGCAGAUAUCAGGAGGAACACCGGUGGCGAAGGCGGGUCUCUGGGACGAACUGAC
rnacentral:rRNA from 1 species